GCACGGUACGAACCGGCCCGUACCGGUCCGGUAGGCAACCGGUACGCCUACCGGACCCGGUACGCCUACCGGACCCGGUACGGUGGACCUUGGUUUGAGGCAUCCCAAGGAUGCUCUUUCCGUUAGAGCAGCACUUGCACUACCAUGGUGCAUAUGGAUAAUGUAGCCUACUCCCUAUAUGAAGGAACAACUUCACUGCUUUCUUGUGUUGUACUCCUAAGGGAAGGACGAGGGAUUAAUUCAAUUUAACUAAACUUAGAGGAAAAACCAAGUAGUAAGAACUCAAAUAGUGGACUGACUCACUGUACCGAUUCAUUAUUUCUUUCCCUUAAGACUUAUACUCGCUUUGUCUCAAGUGAGAGAGAACUUUAUUGCAAGUUGAAAGAUUGACUGGAUGACCCUUACCCAUUCUAUCUAAAUGAAUGGAUGCUAAGAGAAGGUUUUCAAGGAUUCUUUCCAGUGAUUGAUGCAAUCUUUAUGCCUGGGAGCAUCUGUUAAUUCAGUGGGUAUAUUUUUGGGUUGUCGUGUCAUGGAAAGGGGAUGUCUGUUUUGCAUGUAGAAGUGGGGAAUAUUUACGUGUGUGUGUGUGUCGAGAGAGAGAGAGAGAGAGAGAGAGAGAGAGAGAGAGAGAGAGAGAGAGAGAGAGAGAGAGAGAGGUCAGAUCAUGGUGGGUUGGCUGAAUUGAACCUAGCCGCUCAUGCAUGUACUGAUGAGGCACCAAGGUGCAUGGCUUCACAAGACCAAAGAUAAGUGGCACCCACCCAUUUCUGUCAACAAUGUGUGUCUGUUCCAAGUCUUAGACACGAAAGCUUUAUGAACAGUAGACUCUUUUUUUUUUUUUGCGGCUCAAUAAAGUGGAGUAGUAUUUUGGCAGCUUACUCCCUGGCUUCAAUACUAUAGAGCUACCUAUAUUUACAGAGAAGUGGAUAAGGAUGCUGAUUGGUUAGCAGGUUAUGCUAUCUCUAAGCAACUUGUUUUCUCAUGGCAGGACUCUGAUCCUAUUGAUGGACUUGAUCUCCUUUGGGCGGAUCAGUUAGGAGUUUCUUAUCCAAGGAAGACUUAAAUAAAAGCAUAGUAGUAUAAGCAAAUGUAGGCAUGGAAAACUCACUGAUUCUGCAUGAUAGGAGUCUUUCCAAUCACUAAGCAGUAGUUUAGGAUGUAAAUUAUUGAAUUUGCUUGUCUAUUUAGUCCCUUAUCUUUAGGUAUUAAAAUCUCACUCCAAUAAUUGUAAUGAUAUAUUAUGGGAUCAGCGGAUGAUGCCACCUUUGAUUCUAGAAUAUUUUUAUUCCUUUACUGUUUGACUUUUUGAUUUGUAUUCUAAGUCAACUCUUCACCUUUUAAAGUUUCACGAUUUUCUCCUGAUUUGUGAAAAUCUUUAUGGAUAA